AUUGAACGCUGGCGGUAUGCUUAACACAUGCAAGUCGAACGGUAGCAGGCCUUCGGGCGCUGACGAGUGGCGGACGGGUGAGUAACGCGUAGGAAUCUGCCUCAUAGUGGGGGACAACGUGGGGAAACUCACGCUAAUACCGCAUACGCCCUACGGGGGAAAGCGGGGGCUCUUCGGACCUCGCGCUAUGAGAUGAGCCUGCGUUAGAUUAGCUAGUUGGUAGGGUAAAAGCCUACCAAGGCGACGAUCUAUAGCUGGUCUGAGAGGACGAUCAGCCACACUGGGACUGAGACACGGCCCAGACUCCUACGGGAGGCAGCAGUGGGGAAUAUUGGACAAUGGGCGCAAGCCUGAUCCAGCAAUACCGCGUGUGUGAAGAAGGCCCUAGGGUUGUAGAGCACUUUCAAUUGGGAGGAAAACCUGUCGGUCAAUACCCGGCAGCUUGACAUUACCUUUAGAAGAAGCACCGGCUAACUCCGUGCCAGCCGCCGCAGUAACAC
rnacentral:rRNA from 1 species